UACGGGGGGGGCAAGCGUUGUUCGGAAUUACUGGGCGUAAAGGGCUCGUAGGUGGCCAACUAAGUCGGACGUGAAAUCCCUCGGCUUAACCGGGGAACUGCAUCCGAUACUGGAUGGCUUGAGUUCGGGAGAGGGAUGUGGAAUUCCAGGUGUAGCGGUGAAAUGCGUAGAUAUCUGGAGGAACACCGGUGGCGAAGGCGGCGAUCUGGGUAGAUACUGACGCUGAGGUGCGAAAGCGUGGGGAGCAAACAGG
rnacentral:rRNA from 1 species